AGAGUUUGAUCAUGGCUCAGGACGAACGCUGGCGGCGUGCCUAAUACAUGCAAGUCGAGCGAGCUUGCCUAGAUGAUUUUAGUGCUUGCACUAAAUGAAACUAGAUACAAGCGAGCGGCGGACGGGUGAGUAACACGUGGGUAACCUGCCCAAGAGACUGGGAUAACACCUGGAAACAGAUGCUAAUACCGGAUAACAACACUAGACGCAUGUCUAGAGUUUGAAAGAUGGUUCUGCUAUCACUCUUGGAUGGACCUGCGGUGCAUUAGCUAGUUGGUAAGGUAACGGCUUACCAAGGCAAUGAUGCAUAGCCGAGUUGAGAGACUGAUCGGCCACAUUGGGACUGAGACACGGCCCAAACUCCUACGGGAGGCAGCAGUAGGGAAUCUUCCACAAUGGACGAAAGUCUGAUGGAGCAACGCCGCGUGAGUGAAGAAGGGUUUCGGCUCGUAAAGCUCUGUUGGUAGUGAAGAAAGAUAGAGGUAGUAACUGGCCUUUAUUUGACGGUAAUUACUUAGAAAGUCACGGCUAACUACGUGCCAGCAGCCGCGGUAAUACGUAGGUGGCAAGCGUUGUCCGGAUUUAUUGGGCGUAAAGCGAGUGCAGGCGGUUCAAUAAGUCUGAUGUGAAAGCCUUCGGCUCAACCGGAGAAUUGCAUCAGAAACUGUUGAACUUGAGUGCAGAAGAGGAGAGUGGAACUCCAUGUGUAGCGGUGGAAUGCGUAGAUAUAUGGAAGAACACCAGUGGCGAAGGCGGCUCUCUGGUCUGCAACUGACGCUGAGGCUCGAAAGCAUGGGUAGCGAACAGGAUUAGAUACCCUGGUAGUCCAUGCCGUAAACGAUGAGUGCUAAGUGUUGGGAGGUUUCCGCCUCUCAGUGCUGCAGCU
rnacentral:rRNA from 1 species